CCUACGGGAGACAGCAGUGAGGAAUAUUGGUCAAUGGCCGAGAGGCUGAACCAGCCAAGUCGCGUGAGGGAUGACGGCCCUACGGGUUGUAAACCUCUUUUGCCGGGGAGCAAAGAGCGGGACGCGUCCCGCCUCGAGAGUACCCGGAGAAUAAGCAUCGGCUAACUCCGUGCCAGCAGCCGCGGUAAUACGGAGGAUGCGAGCGUUAUCCGGAUUUAUUGGGUUUAAAGGGUGCGCAGUGGGAAGUGAAAGUCAGCGGUAAAAUUGAGGGGUCAAACCUCUUCCCGCCGUUGAAACUGGGUGUCUUGAGUAGGCUAGAAGUACGCGGAAUGCGUGGUGUAGCGGUGAAAUGCAUAGAUAUCACGAAGAACUCCGAUUGCGAAGGCAGCGUACCGGCGCGCAACUGACGCUCAUGCACGAAAGCGUGGGUAUCGAACAGGAUUAGAUACCCGUGUAGUC
rnacentral:rRNA from 1 species